GUGAGGAAUAUUGGUCAAUGGGCGGGAGCCUGAACCAGCCAAGUCGCGUGAAGGAAGAAGGAUCUAUGGUUCGUAAACUUCUUUUGCAGGGGAAUAAAGUGCAGGACGUGUCCUGGUUUGUAUGUACCCUGAGAAUAAGGAUCGGCUAACUCCGUGCCAGCAGCCGCGGUAAUACGGAGGAUCCGAGCGUUAUCCGGAGUUAUUGGGUUUAAAGGGUGCGUAGGUGGUUUGAUAAGUCAGCGGUGAAAGUGUGCAGCUUAACUGUAAAAAUGCCGUUGAAACUGUCGGACUUGAGUGUAAAUGAGGUAGGCGGAAUGCGUGGUGUAGCGGUGAAAUGCAUAGAUAUCACGCAGAACUCCGAUUGCGAAGGCAGCUUACUAAGCUACAACUGACACUGAAGCACGAAAGCGUGGGGAUCAAACAGGAUUAGAAACCCGGGUAGUCC
rnacentral:rRNA from 1 species